rnacentral:rRNA from 1 species
GACGAACGCUGGCGGCGUGCCUAACACAUGCAAGUCGAACGGAAAGGGCCUAAUCUUGUGGGGUGCUAGAGUGGCGAACGGGUGUCUAACACGUGAGUAACCUGCGCUUGACCUUGGGGUAACCUCAGGAAACUCGGGAUAAUACCGGAUAGGAGCUCCUGCUGCUCGGUGGGGGUUGGAAAGUUGCGGCGGGCGGGGAUGGACUCGCGGCUUAUCAGCUUGUUGGUGGGGGAGUGGGUUACCAAGGCUUUGAUGGGUAGCCGGCCUGAGCGGGUGGCCGGCCACAUGGGGACUGAGGGACGGCACAGAGUGCUACGGUGGACAGCAGUGGCGAACCUUGCACAAUGAGGGGAAGCCUGAGGCAGCAACGCCCCGUUCGUGAUGAGGGUCUGCGGGUGUGGAACCGCUUUCGGCUAUGACGAAGGGUGAAUGACGGUAACCGAUGAAGAAGCACCGGCUAACUACGUG